AUAUCAAUAAGCGGAGGAAAAGAAACCAACAGGGAUUGCCCUAGUAACGGCGAGUGAAGCGGCAACAGCUCAAAUUUGAAAUCUGGCUCUUUCAGGGUCCGAGUUGUAAUUUGCAGAGGGCGCUUUGGUGUUGGCAGCGGUCCAAGUUCUUUGGAACAGGACGUCACAGAGGGUGAGAAUCCCGUACGUGGUCGCUAGCCCUCACCGUGUAAAGCCCCUUCGACGAGUCGAGUUGUUUGGGAAUGCAGCUCUAAAUGGGAGGUAAAUUUCUUCUAAAGCUAAAUACUGGCCAGAGACCGAUAGCGCACAAGUAGAGUGAUCGAAAGAUGAAAAGCACUUUGGAAAGAGAGUCAAAUAGCACGUGAAAUUGUUGAAAGGGAAGCGCUUGCAGCCAGACUUGCCUGUAGUUGCUUAUCUAGACUUUUGUCUAGUGCACUCUUCUAUAGGCAGGCCAGCAUCAGUUUGGGCGGUUGGAUAAAGGUCUCUGUCAUGUACCUCCUUUCGGGGAGGCCUUAUAGGGGAGACGACAUGCAACCAGCCUGGACUGAGGUCCGCGCAUCUGCUAGGAUGCUGGCGUAAUGGCUGUAAGCGGCCCGUCUUGAAACACGGACCAAGGAGUCUAACAUCUAUGCGAGUGUUGGGG
rnacentral:rRNA from 1 species